GGCAAAAAUCUCAACCGUGCCCACUUCCUAGGAGUGUGGGAAGGAUCAUAUCUAACCAGGUCCAUCAAAUGAGAAGACUUCCCAGUGGAAGGGAGGACUGGAGCUACAAGGGGAGUCCAACCUGCUGGCAUGGCUAGGCCACGCGGUCACGGGAACGGCACCAUGAAACAGAACACACAGGACCGUGAGAGGCACAGAGCCCACACACACAGCCGUGAGCCAAACCAUGGCAACAAGACACAGGCGGUGGCCUGAGACUUCACGGGCUCACACAGCACGACUGUGGGUAAUGUUUUUUCCAUUUCCUUUCAUUCCGUCGUCAAAGUGAUUUAAUAACAAAAUGAUCUAAAACAGCUAGAGGAACCCAGCUGUGUGUAGCUCACUGUCUGGACUGUCCUCACACCCUACACAGACUCUCCUGACCUUUACCCGGCUCAACGGGAAAUCAGGAAACCAAGGCUGGCCUUCAGGCCCAAUGCAGCCUCGUCAACGUUUAGUGACCUCUGUCAAGCUUAAAAACACACAAAACCCAAAGAACCAGCAUGCCACGGGAAGAGGAGGGCAGACGCACACUGGCGUCCCUCUGCAGCCCAGGACUGGGCCCAGCAGCCAAACCAGCAGCUGCGCUGGAGGACGAGCACCCUCCAAUGAGGCCAGACAGCUGCCCAGCUCAUGACAAAAAUUUCAGUUAAGAAACCAACUGAUGGUGAGCGGUGAGGUUACCUCCCCACCCUCUCACCCGGCCUCACCAUUUCCCGUUUUUGGGAGGGAAAACGCGUCCUCUGCCACAAAGCAGAACUCGCAACCACCAGGACUUCCUCACCGUGGUAAAGUCCACGGCUGGAGCAAGAGCAAGCGAAUCACAAGGCAAACAAGAAGGUCUGCGAAGCUGAGAAACCCCCAGCCCCGGUAUGAGACGGCCUCGUGUGGCACUGGGAGGCUGGCCCAGAACCCCCGUCCCGUGCUUCACAGUGGACAGCAGAGUCACACAGCACUGCAACGGGAGCCCAGCUGGCUGUAUCGGGGGGAUGGAACAGCCACCCAGAAUCUCCGGUCCUGAGGCCGUACAGCUGGCACCUGACCCUCACCAGAUCUGUCCGACUACAGAGCAAACAGGCUUCCCCUCGGCAGAUGAACCCUGGAUGGUGGACAGGAUUCUCAGCCUGAGCCCCCGAGGGAAGAGGGAGCCCACCUAUCACGUGUUCACCAUCCUUGAAUCCAAGGGAAACGGCAAGCAAGGGCCUGAAAACCCCAGUAAGUGACCCUGAAAAUUACUCUUCUACCUCCCCCUCCCCACCAGGCCCCUGUGCCUGUUCACACCCGUGCUGGGUCCCCCCAAGCGUUCCCUGACAGCCACCAACAAGACCACAUCAGGGUUCCUGCUAUCCACAUGACACCACUGGCUUUACUCAAAGCGUGUGAUCAACCGGGAUGCGCCGCUACUUUUCUGCGUGGGCGGGCGUCCAAGCGCCCCAGUCCACGCCUGAACAACCGACUUUGGAAACUGUGUGGUCUUGGAUAGACUUCGCACACAGUGCAGUUCAUCCGGCAGGUAUGGCCACAGACUACAGACUCUUAAGUAAAGGCAACUCUGCUUCUCCCUGAGAAAAGUCUCAGCCCGGCCAACUCCCAAAUCCACGUGCCUGUCCAGUGGCCUCAUUUCUUCAUUCAACUAUUUUCAGAGUGUCUCUGAGCCUUGUCCUCUGUGAACAGAAAGGUGAGGAAGACAUGACUGCUGCCCUCAGGCGGACGGGGGCAGAUGAAAGGGGAAGGAGACAGGUGAAUGGAUAGUCAUCACAUGGCGUGAGCGCUGUGACUUCCUGGGUGACUAACAGCUGACAAGAUGAAACCUGAACUCACCUGCAAGAAGCGUGAGCUGUCCGUGGAGGGCAGGGGCAUGAGGGGAACUGGAAGGAGCAGGUGUGCUAAGCCUGAGCCCCGUCUCUGUGGAGAGGAGGGAGACAUCCAAGGUGCACUGGGGCUGCGGGAAGGAGGCGCCAGCAUGGAGGCUUGCCCCAGGGGCUACAGACAUUAGCCCGCGGGGACUGAGAAGCCAGGAAAAGCCAGAGGACAGGCAGCAGGUAGCAACAACGUGACUACAGAGUGUGAUUUAUAAAGAGCACAAAGAAAGGACCAGAAAGGAAAGGGCGAGGGUCACCGGGUGAAGCCACUGAAAACCGAGUCGGAUAUGGGUCAAGAGAGCCACUUUCUCAUCCCCAGGGUGGCAGAGGGGAGCUGCCUGGGAGUCUGUGUGGAGGGGCAGCCCGUUCCACCUGCACAGUGCACUGCCCACACAGCUAUCCACGUCUCCCUCUCACACGCACAUAGGGCCUCUGGCCCCACAACUUCCCUGGGAUCAGGUAUGGUCACCCCCUCCAUGCAGCGAGGUUUGGAACAACUAAAGGACUUACUCAAUGGUUCACAGCAAAUAAAAGAUAGGUCAGCACUAAAA